ACCUUCUCAUCCUGUCAAACAGCCCAUUUUUUCUAUUAAACCGUCAUGUCUGGAUUUCUUUAUUUUCAUCAUUUAUCCACAAAUCCCUCCCUCGGCGCCUCCUUGACAGUGAUACUUUCUUUUCAGAAAAUUAUUGCAGCAAAUUAUUCCUUCCCUGUUGUGCCAUAGUAAGAAAAUGCUGUUUUACUCUGUCAAAACUCUCCAAGUGCAGUGAAAAUAAACCACUUAGAAUAAAUUGGUCUCACCUGUAGGCCAGAUAACAGGAGUGUUAGUGCAUCUUUCUCUUCAGGGGGCUUCUACUCUGUGCUCUUUCACCUCUGUGGUUUGUCCCUGGCUGCGCUGAAUGGAAAUGAACAGUUCAGACAGAACAGCAGUACGUGACACUGUCGCAGUGAGAGCAGGUUUGAUGUCGACAAACAAGGAAACUAAACUGAAGACGUCUCAGACACUUCAGGAACAGAUUCUUGAAGGAACCCGUUGUUCCAGAGUUGACAGUCUUCAUGAAUAUGGCUUCUCAUCAAGGAGUUUAAAGUCAACUGGACCGGAUGUUAACCGCGCUCCUGCCUCUGACAUCUAAAAUAAUUAUUCCCUCGUCACUAAUUGAAAGGGACGCCUCGAUGUAAAGACACUGAGGCUAAUUCAAUCACUUGAAUUUAAUUAUUCUUCAAUGAAAACGUGUAAUUGAAAAUGUUAAUGAACUAUUUAAGUCAUUUUAAGGGGAAAUUGUCCAAUUUCAGUUCUAAUGUGUCAAGUGAUCCCUUGACUCAUCUGGUAGGUGAUUCGCCUGAGGUGCUGCCCUAAAAAAAAAAAAAAAAGGCAAUUAAUAAAGUACUCAAGGUCAAAUGA